rnacentral:rRNA from 1 species
UAAGGAAUAUUGCACAAUGGGGGAAACCCUGAUGCAGCAACGCCGCGUGAGCGAAGAAGGCCUUCGGGUCGUAAAGCUCUUUUCUGGGGGACGAGGAAGGACGGUACCUCAGGAAUAAGUCUCGGCUAACUACGUGCCAGCAGCCGCGGUAAAACGUAGGAGGCGAGCGUUAUCCGGAUUUACUGGGCGUAAAGGGCAAGUAGGCGGUGGCCAAAGUUGGGCGUGACAAUUCUCGGCUUAACUGAGAAAGGACGUUCAAAACUAGGCGACUAGAGGGCAGGAGAGGGAAGCGGAAUUCCUAGUGUAGCGGUGGAAUGCUCAGAUAUUAGGAAGAACACCAGUGGCGAAAGCGGCUUCCUGGCCUGUACCUGACGCUGAGAGGCGAAAGCUAGGGUAGCAAACG